rnacentral:misc_RNA from 1 species
AAGUCGUAACAAGGUUUCCGUAGGUGAACCUGCGGAAGGAUCAUUAACAACGUAUCCACGUUAACUCACCCAGUGAAUCUGUUUUCUUCUCCCUACGAGUAUGCAUGAAGAGGAGCCAAGGUGCAGGCAGAGUGGGAUCGCUUGCGAUCACACUGCACUAACGCUAUCGAGUGGACUUGUGCCAUUCAACUCUUGUAGCAUACCCUUAGGUUUCAGUCGCAGAGUGCGGCGGCCUCUCUGGCUUGCACUCUACGGCGCUUUAUACUAACCUAUUUCACCCCCUUUUGCUAGUUGACUUUAUUUAUGUUAUAUGCGGACUCGUCCUCGUAUACACGUUUCUUAAUUGAACAAUAAAACAACUCUUAGCAAUGGAUAUCUUGGUUCUC